UGAUGUCCUCUCUACUAAAGCCCUUGGAUGUAGUUCCACAUUUUGUCCUGUCAGCCUUCUUGUGGAGGAGGGAUGAUUUGAAGCAGAGAGCGAGAGAUUAUUAGUCUGGGCUGCCUGUGCACAGGCAUGAGUGGGCAUGCAUGGUGGGUGUAAAAGGUCAUAUCCUACUCUGACCAGCUUUAUUCCUGUUUUCCAUUAUUGCAUCAUGAAGACACAAGAUUUAGAGAUCUGUUUUCUUAAGAGUCAAAGAGCAGGGUUUCUCCCAC
rnacentral:lncRNA from 1 species